GCCGCGGUGGUCUAGCGGUUAGAACGCUGGCCUUGUAAUCCUGGGGUCUCGGGUUCGAUUCCCGGCUGUGCCC
rfam:Zootermopsis nevadensis contig3022, whole genome shotgun sequence.